GACGAACGCUGGCGGCGUGGAUUAGGCAUGCAAGUCGAACGGUAUCAUCCUUUCGGGGGUGAGAGAGUGGCGAACUGGUGAGUAACACGUAGGUUAUCUACCCUCAAGACGGGGACAACCCAGGGAAACUUGGGCUAAUACCGGAUGUGAGCAACUUUUAGUUGUUUGAAAGGUGGCGUAAGCUGUCGCUUGGGGAUGAGCCUGCGUCCUAUUAGUUAGUUGGUGAGGUAACGGCUCACCUAGGCAAUGAUAGGUAGGCGGCCUUAACGGGUGGUCGCCCACACUGGGAUUGAGAUACGGCCCAGACUCCUACGGGAGGCAGCAGUCGAGAAUAGUCUACAAUGGUCGGAAGACUGAUAGUGCGACGCCGCGUGAACGAUGAAUCCCUUCGGGGUGUAAAGUUCUUUUAUAUGUGAGCAGUGCUUCUUAUAUUAACAGUAUGGGGAGAGAGAUAUUAGCAUAUGAAUAAGCAACGGCUAACUCCGUGCCAGCAGCCGCGGUACUCGU
rnacentral:rRNA from 1 species